rnacentral:misc_RNA from 1 species
GAUGAAGAACGCAGCGAAAUGCGAUAAGUAAUGUGAAUUGCAGAAUUCAGUGAAUCAUCGAGUCUUUGAACGCACAUUGCGCCCCCUGGUAUUCCGGGGGUCAUGCCUGUCCGAGCGUCAUUGCUGCCCUCAAGCACGGCUUGUGUGUUGGGCCCCGCCCCCCGGCUCCCGGGGGGCGGGCCCGAAAGGCAGCGGCGGCACCGCGUCCGGUCCUCGAGCGUAUGGGGCUUCGUCACCCGCUCCGUAGGCCCGGCCGGCGCCCGCCGGCGACCCCCCUCAAUCUUUUCAGGUUGACCUCGGAUCAGGUAGGGAUACCCGCUGAACUUAAGCAUAUCAAUAAGCGGAGGA